GAUGAACGCUGGCGGCGUGCUUAACACAUGCAAGUCGAACGGAGUUACAUGAAACCUAGUGAUUGUAACUUAGUGGCGGACGGGUGAGUAACGCGUGGGUAACCUGGCGUAUACAGGGGGAUAACACUUAGAAAUAGGUGCUAAUACCGCAUAAGCGCACGAAUUCGCAUGAAUUUGUGUGAAAAACUAAGGUGGUAUACGAUGGACCCGCGUCUGAUUAGCUAGUUGGUGAGGUAACGGCCCACCAAGGCGACGAUCAGUAGCCGGCCUGAGAGGGUGAACGGCCACAUUGGGACUGAGACACGGCCCAAACUCCUACGGGAGGCAGCAGUGGGGAAUAUUGGACAAUGGGGGAAACCCUGACGCAGCAACGCCGCGUGCAGGAAGAAGGUCUUCGGAUUGUAAACUGUUGUCGCAAGGGAAGAAGACAGUGACGGUACCUUGUGAGAAAGUCACGGCUAACUACGUG
rnacentral:rRNA from 1 species